rnacentral:tRNA from 1 species
GGAGAGAUGUCCGAGUGGCUUAAGGAGCACGCUUGGAAAGCGUGUGUGCGGGAGACUGCACCGGGGGUUCGAAUCCCUCUCUCUCCG